rnacentral:misc_RNA from 1 species
UUUGCGUGUACGAGUAUUUUUUUCUAUUUAAAUUUGUCUUUGUUUUUUUACUUCUGACGAUAUUUUAUUGUUUUUGUCAGAUAACGCUAUACUCAGUUCGUUGUUAAUUGGCACACAUGUUAUUUUGUCAAAAAUGGUUAAGUAACUAAUACAAAUUCUUCAAAAUUUCUGGUCUAAUAUUCAUUAUUAUCAAUAAAGAAACAAAUAAUGAUACUUGUGUCUUUGUAAUUUGUUAUAUCUAAUGCGCAAAUGAAGAUUCUGCAGCAUCGCUGAGUUAUGCAUUCAGAAUGUUACGUGCACAUUUAAAACGUUAAAGAAAGUGAGAAUGACCGGUCGUGAAUUAUGGUAACGUAACGGAUAGAAUGCCGUCUGUCGUCCCACGAAUCUCAUGUCGCACGUGAGCCAGAGUUCAUCCGAUGAGGCCGUAUUGCUCACUCGGGGUUACAAACUGUUGAGAAAGCUCGGUGAGGGUUGUUACGCAAAAGUGUAUCUGGCCGAGUAUAAACCAGAACACGAAGCAGAUCGCAACAACACUUUAGCCUGCAAGAUUAUCAACACCACAAGCGCGCCGAAGGACUUUGUCCAAAAAUUUCUGCCACGCGAACUAGACAUCUUGGCAAAGCUGAACCAUCCGCAUGUCGUGCACGUGCACAGCAUCUUCCAAAGGCACAACAAGUAUUUCAUAUUUAUGCGCUUCGCCGAGAACGGUGAUCUUCUCGAAUUUGUUCUGAAAAACGGUGCAGUGACGGAAAAUCAAGCCCGCGUAUGGUUCCGUCAGCUCGCUUUAGGUCUUCAGUAUCUGCACGAGCUGGAAAUCGUACAUCGGGAUGUCAAGUGUGAGAACGUUCUUCUAACGUCUAACUUCAAUGUAAAAUUGGCGGACUUUGGAUUUGCUCGUUAUGUGGUUGAUAGCCGCGGUAAGCACGUCCUCAGCGACACGUACUGCGGUUCGCUCUCGUAUGUGGCGCCAGAGAUUCUCCGCGGUUAUCCGUAUAAUCCAAAGAUGUCUGACAUAUGGUCGUUGGGAGUGAUCCUCUACAUAUUACUAAACAAGGCGAUGCCGUUUGACGAGAGCAACGUAAAGCGUUUAUACGAGCUGCAAGUGGCGCGCAAAUGGAAAUUCCGUAAAAGAUCGGACCAUCUAACCGAGCAUGUAAAGAAACUUGUGAGCAAUCUGCUCGAGCCGGAAGUAUUUAAACGCUGGCACUUGGAUCAGAUUGUCCAUAGCGACUGGAUCGCCAUGGAUCCGCGUCUCCUGGUGCUGACGCCUGCGGAGCAGACCGCGCUGAGCAACGCGAUCGAGGAGCGAAAGAAACACGAGGAAAAGGUCACGAAAAGGGAGGUCGUACGAGCGGAGGAGAGUCCCGUACGACUGUUACUCAUAAACAUUUUUUACAAAUCCAAGUGUCUCUUAAUGUCGUUUUUAUCGUAUAUUGCAUUGACGAUGCGUAGAACGCUGCUGGUCAUUUACCAAGCGUAUACGCAUAUUUUAUCACACUUUCGACUACAAGAUUAAUCAAAUUUUGUAAUUUAAUCGACAUAAAAUACAUAGAUUCUCUCACAUCUUGUAAAUCAAAUCCAUAAUUAAAAGAAAAUAUGUAACAAAUGGUGUCGCGACACUACGAAUAAUCGAUUUUCAGAAACGGCACAAAACUGAAGAGACAAAAAAGAUUAACGAGCACAGGUCGCAUGAAGCGGAAGCGCAAGCGGAAGUAACAAUCCUUAAAGAUGUUGUAAAAGAAGCAGUUUCAACAAUCAUGACAGUCGGAACUCACCUUAACAAUCCAUAGCCUGUUCUCACUUAUCAUUUGUGGAAAUAAAAAAACUAAAAAUAAUUUGAUUCAUUGCAAUUCAAUAUAUAUUUUCUUGAAGUAACUAAC